ACCUCGCACGUUGCCAAGUAUAGCCCAAACAGUGUAGGAAAUGGUUGAGACGCAGAGAACUUUCGUUAAAUUUGCCCGCGGGGAACUGAUGGUGAAAUCUUUCAGUGUUGCAGCAAACCCUAUGGGGGGAUUUUGUACAAAAAUGUGUUGUAUGCUAUUAUAACAAUGGGAUUUAAAAUAAGUAUUCGAAAAUGUGUUAGAAAUUUCAAAUUUUAAAAAUCAAUUCAACCAAAGUUAUGGAAAAAUUAUAUUUCCGUUACCCGUUAAUUUGGUAUUUGACACUACCGUUGAUUCGGAGAGACACAUUUCGUUCCUACUUGUCCAUCGCUAUAGUUUUCGUAUGUAGCAAGCCAUGAUUGACUUCCUGUCAACUGCGAUAGCUUUCAGAUGAACUGUCAAACGAAAUAAAAACGUGUCGAAGAAACAUACAUUCCGAUUGCGAAAAAGUGAUUACAAAUUCUGGGUUCCAACUUAUAACGGUGGUACUAAUGGUAAAAUCGUGCAAUGGUUAAUAGUGACAGUGAACUUUUUAUCUCCGCAAGGAAAUCGAGGUCUAUUGUUUGUGAAUAGCAUACUUCUGCGUGGUUAAAUAUUUAGCUACUGACCGAGGUCACCCUUUCUAUGCACUACCAGCACUAAAAGAAAGUUAAGUUUUGUGAAGUUUUGUAAAUUGCAAAAAUGAUGAUACAGUAAUUUGCUAGUUAAUAGGUGAUAAAGAAUACUGCUUACAUUAGUUUUUUCUUGGAAAUAACUUGUUGCUAAUGCUGAUACACAUUACAUUCUAAGACAAGGUUGAAGGUUGAACCUAAGACAAGGUUGUGUGGCAAACAUUCGCAUCGGAAAGGGCGUUGUGUGUUGUAUUGUGCUCUUUUUUUGUUUUGUGACGAAAAAAUGAAUCGUAAACAAAACCGGUAUGCAAAUAGUUGAUGUGAUUGGAAGAAUUAAAUCAUGUUGAACGCUACGGCUAGAAUUCUAUUCAUGUUUCUUCGCCAACAGGAAUUUUUGUACCAGUAGACCGGAAUACCGAUGCUCGGAACUCGAAUGAAGAUUGCUAUUUGAAAUUCCAGGGCUUUAACCGCAUGAAAUGGACAGGUAUUGAUUGUGAUGUUCAGCACAUUACAAAAUCAUUAGUUGAUCGACAUCGGGUGACAAUGUCAUUGUCAUCAACAAUUACAUUUUUGCAAGAGGUGAGUGAUAUUUAUACCUUAAUAAUUUUGUUUGGCAAAGAAAGAAAACAGAUUUAAAAUAUUAAACUUCUUCGCUCUCCAUUACGUAUGUUUUUUUUUACCAACCAUUAUGUUAUGCAAUUGAUAAAAAGAAAUUUUUAAGCAAGUUUUGAUAUUGUUUUAUAUUGCUAUGUGAAGUUGCUUAGAACGACAUUCUUCACUGCUGAAAGUUAAAAAAUCUUUAUUAUUUUCCCACUUUUCUCGUGGCACACUAUCACUCAAAACACUAUCGAUCGUUUAAGUUGUUCCGUCCUCUAUUACUAAUGAAAAGUUAUUUCGAAUAUCACUUUACAUGUCGUUGAAGUGUAGUUCAUAACGAUGAUACCGUCACCAGCAACUUAUGAUAAAAGAAAUUAUUUAGUCGAUUUUCAAUACGAAGUUUCUGCAACCUAGUGUACAUCCAGGAUUAUGUUUUCUUUUGAAGCUAUUCUGCACAGCACUACAGAAUUUGAGAAACGCGAAGCCAACUGGUCCUUGUUUUUCAUGGCACGCUGCAUGCGUUGUGAAAUCCGAUUACUGAUAAUUGAUGUAUAAUUACUGACGUAUAAUUGAUCAUGAUGUGGUAAAUUAUGUCUGAUGAAUAAUUAUGUCUCAAAGAGUAAAGGUAUUGGUACAUGGCACGCAAACUUCAUGCGCAAACUCAAAUUAUUGAAAAGUUUACGUCUAAAAAAUUUCGGUUCGUUUAGCCGCAUGAAUUUCACAUAAACGCCCGAAAUUUUAUGUUGGCGCAAACUUAUUGUCAUAAACAU